rnacentral:rRNA from 1 species
GAUCCUGGCUCAGGAUGAACGCUAGCUACAGGCUUAACACGUGCAAGUCGAGGGGCAGCAUUUUUAGUUUUGCUUGCAAACUAAAGAUGGCGACCGGCGCACGGGUGAGUAACACGUAUCCAACCUGCCGAUAACUCUGGGAUAGCCUUUCGAAAGAAAGAUUAAUACCGGAUGGCAUAGGAUUAUCGCAUGAUAAUCCUAUUAAAGAAUUUCGGUUAUCGAUGGGGAUGCGUUCCAUUAGGUAGUUGG